rnacentral:rRNA from 1 species
UACGAGAAAGUAAAUAAGGGCGUAUGGGGAAUGCCUAGGCUCUCAGAGGCGAUGAAGGACGUGAUAAGCUGCGAUAAGCUGUGGGGAUCGGCACAUACGAUUUGAUCCGCAGAUUUCCGAAUGGGACAACCCAGCAGGUUGAAGACCUGUUAUCCGAAAGGAGGCAAACCCGGGGAACUGAAACAUCUAAGUACCCGGAGGAAGAGAAAACAAUUAGUGAUUCCGUUAGUAGUGGCGAGCGGACGCGGAAAAGCCCAAACCAGGUUAGUUACGGCUAGCUUGGGGUUGUAGGGCCACGAUAUCUUAACAAAACAAAACUUGAAGUGCAUGGGAAGGCACGCAGAAUAGGGUGACAGCCCCGUAAAGGAAAUGUUUUGAGCGGUAGUGGUACCCUGAGUAGGGCGGGACAGGUGAAAUCCCGUCUGAAUCCACCGGCACCAUCCGGUAAGGCUAAAUACUCCUGAGAGACCGAUAGUGAACCAGUACCGUGAGGGAAAGGUGAAAAGUACCCUGAAUAAGGGGGUGAAAUAGUACCUGAAACCAUACGCUUACAAGCGAUCGGAGCCCCGUAGUGGGGUGACGGUGUGCCUUUUGCAUAAUGAGCCUACGAGUUACUCCUCCCUGGCAAGGUUAAGUGAUUAAGUCACGUAGCCGGAGCGAAAGCGAGUCUGAA